GGGGACGACAUGGUUUCGACGGGCUGUGAAGCAGGAUGGAACUGCAUGCCGGGAUUUCUCGCUAUCCCGUGAUUAGCGAGAGACGGAUAUAAAUGCCGACUAUGAUUACGCAAUGGCUGCCUAAUUAAACGGUAGCCCGCUCUCUACUUAUCCUCCCUGUCGGGUAAGUAGAAGAGCGUCGCUAAAGACAGGGCGGAUUGUGGAAUUGUCCGGGUUCCACAACUCCGAAUUCACCGGACUCGCUAUCGGUAGGCUAGCCGAACUGCCAGCCGGUAGUUAAAUUCAAUCGUUCGGCUAAGCAUGUAGAGGUUCCAUUCAGCUCCUGCCCGGACCCGGGUUCGAUUCCCGGCGUCUCCACAA
rnacentral:tmRNA from 1 species